CGGCGCAUCAGGUGACCCGGUAGCCAUGGUGAAAGCAACUGACCACAGUCGGGGCUUUAGUAUUGUAAGAUAAACCCGGAGACGGAUAGUCAGACAUAUACUUUAAUGUUAAAGGUGCUCUAUUUUUUUGGAUGUACAGUAGUUUUAUUUCUCAGCCACAUUAUCAUAGCAAUAAGAAAGAGACAUAGGAACUAGCUGGAGAAGCCGUGUGGGGAAAAUUAAAACAAAACGAAACACUGAUGUCUUUAACACUAGUUUGAAUGCAGUUCGUUUAGAGACUUAUUUAUUUGCAGGAGCAAACGGUGCCUGAAUAUUAAAAGUGUUCUGAGUUUAAAAAAAAAAAAAGAUACAUAUGCCUUGUAUAUGGCUCAGUAAGCAGCCCUUCGACUCUUAGUUCACUGUGUAUAGUUAACGCUCUGCUGAGAGUAGCGCACGCCUGCUUACGUCCUAGAACCUCCUAGAACCUCCCGUUGGCGGGGAGCCAGCAGAAUCCCAUGUAUACAAUGCCAAAUUUGUUUAUCUUUGUACAGAAGCUCUGAGGAAGUGUCUUGUAUUUAACGCCCUUAUUUAAGCUUAUUUAACCUUAAAUUGUUAAUUUUAUAAACUUUGGUUUGACCCGCACUACAACGAGGGAGGUGUAGGCAGCAGCAAGCUUUGGACGGCCGAGCUUGCCCCUAACAGAGCAGAGGCAGGGCGGGAGAUUCUAACAACUGGAUGCUGCUAGUAACAAGUCCUUUGUAUUGCUUUAUCAUUUUUAACUGUUCUAUUUGAGAUGAACAUACAUUUUGCUUUUUUAAUAAAUGUUCAAAAGAGGCCACAUCACAGUCAGUGAAAGGCUA